AGUGGGAAAACUGGGUCAAAUGGUGGUUCUAUUCCAAGUUUUCUGAGGAAUCUCCAGACUGCUUUCCAUAGUGGUUGCACCAAUUUGAAGCCCCAUCAGCAAU
rnacentral:pre_miRNA from 1 species